CCCCUCUCAGGGUCACACCUGGAGAGUUUCCAGUACUCUAUCAGUCUUGGCUAUGGGAGACAGAGUCAAAGCAGAGGCCUACCCAUUCCACUCCUAGCUUGGGCAGUGGCUAGCGAGUGGAAGACAAUCUGCUACAAUU